rnacentral:rRNA from 1 species
UACGUAGGGUGCGAGCGUUAAUCGGAAUUACUGGGCGUAAAGCGUGCGCAGGCGGUUUCGUAAGACAGAUGUGAAAUCCCCGGGCUUAACCUGGGAACUGCAUUUGUGACUGCGAGACUAGAGUGCGGCAGAGGGGGGUAGAAUUCCACGUGUAGCAGUGAAAUGCGUAGAUAUGUGGAGGAAUACCGAUGGCGAAGGCAGCCCCCUGGGUCGACACUGACGCUCAUGCACGAAAGCGUGGGGAG